UACGGAGGAGGCAAGCGCUAUCCGGAAUUAUUGGGCGUAAAGCGUCCGUAGGUGGCUAGUCAAGUCUGCGGUCAAAGACUGGGGCUUAACCCUGGAAAGGCCGUGGAAACUGACGAGCUAGAGUGCAGUAGGGGUAGAGGGAAUUCCCGGUGUAGCGGUGAAAUGCGUAGAGCUCGGGAAGAACAUCGGUGGCGAAAGCGCUCUACUGGACUGCAACUGACACUCAGGGACGAAAGCUAGGGGAGCGAAUGGG
rnacentral:rRNA from 1 species